rnacentral:lncRNA from 1 species
GCAUUUUGAGGAAAUCUGACAGGGAUAAAAAUGUUUAUCAGGUCAAGAUCUAUCUGCCCUGAAAUUUUCAGAUGAAUCGGUCAAUUGGUUGUUGGGUUGCUGCCCCUGAAUUGGUAAUUUUGAGGAAAUUUUGCUGUUUUUGGUUAUUAUCUUGAAUAUUAUUAUAGAUGGAGAUAAACUGUAAACAGCAAUAAUGUUCAGCAAAGUAAGAUCUACAAAUAAGUCAACAUGACCAAAAUGGUCAGUUGACCCGUUUAGGAGUUAUUGCCCUUUAUAGUCAAUUUUUAACCAUUUUUCGUAAAUUAAAGUAAUCUUUUACAAAAAUCUUCUCCUCUGAAACUACUGGGCCAAAUUAAUCCAAACUUGGCCACAAUCAUCUUUGGGGUAUCUAGUUUAAAAAAUAUGUGGCGUGACCUGGUCAACCAACUAAGAUGGACGCCACAGCUAAAAAUAGAACAUAGGGGUAAAAUGCAGUUUUUGGCUUAUAACUCAAAAACCAAAGCAUUUUGAGGAAAUCUGACAGGGAUAAAAAUGUUUAUCAGGUCAAGAUCUAUCUGCCCUGAAAUUUUCAGAUGAAUCGGUCAAUUGGUUGUUGGGUUGCUGCCCCUGAAUUGGUAAUUUUGAGGAAAUUUUGCUGUGUUUGGUUAUUAUCUUGAAUAUUAUUAUAGAUAGAGAUAAACUGUAAACAGCAAUAAUGUUCAGCAAAGUAAGAUCUACAAAUAAGUCAACAUAACCAAAAUGGUCAGUUGACCCGUUUAGGAGUUAUUGCCCUUUAUAGUCAAUUUUUAACCAUUUUUCGUAAAUUAAAGUAAUCUUUUACAAAAAUCUUCUCCUCUGAAACUACUGGGCCAAAUUAAUCCAAACUUGGCCACAAUCAUCUUUGGGGUAUCUAGUUUAAAAAAAUAUGUGGCGUGACCUGGUCAACCAACUAAGAUGGACGCCACAGCUAAAAAUAGAACAUAGGGGU